rnacentral:rRNA from 1 species
CGGAGAACGCUGGCGGCGUGGAUUAGGCAUGCAAGUCGGACGGUAGGGCUUUAUCGUAAGAUAGAGUUUGAGAGUGGCGAACGGGUGAGUAACACGUAGGAAUCUACCCUUAAGACGGGGACAACCCAGGGAAACUUGGGCUAAUACCGGAUGAGAGUGCGAGAGAUUGCAUUUAAAAGGAUGGCGAAAGUUGUCGCUUAGGGAUGAGCCUGCGGUCUAUUAGUUAGUUGGUGAGGUAAGAGCUCACCAAGGCGAUGAUAGAUAGGCGGCCUUAACGGGUGGUCGCCCACACUGGGAUUGAGAUACGGCCCAGACUCCUACGGGAGGCAGCAGUCGAGAAUAGUCUACAAUGGCCGGAAGGCUGAUAGUGCGACGCCGCGUGAGCGAAGAAGGCCUUCGGGUUGUAAAGCUCUGUCUGGAGGGACGAAGGAAGUGACGGUACCUCCGGAGGAAGCCACGGCUAACUACGUG